GCCCAAGAGAUCGGGAUAGCACCUGGAAACAGAUGCUAAUACCGGAUAACAACAGAUGAUGCCUAUCAACUGUUUAAAAGAUGGUUCUGCUAUCACUCUUGGAUGGACCUGCGGUGCAUUAGCUAGUUGGUAGGGUAACGGCCUACCAAGGCGAUGAUGCAUAGCCGAGUUGAGAGACUGAUCGGCCACAUUGGGACUGAGACACGGCCCAAACUCCUACGGGAGGCAGCAGCG
rnacentral:rRNA from 1 species